UACAGAGGUGGCAAGCGUUGUUCGGAAUUAUUGGGCGUAAAGAGCUCGUAGGCGGUUCGUCACGUCGGCUGUGAAAACCUGAGGCUCAACCUCAGGCCUGCAGUCGAUACGGGCGGACUCGAGUUCGGCAGGGGAGACUGGAAUUCCUGGUGUAGCGGUGAAAUGCGCAGAUAUCAGGAGGAACACCGAUGGCGAAGGCAGGUCUCUGGGCCACUACUGACGCUGAGAAGCGAAAGCAUGGGGAGCGAACAGG
rnacentral:rRNA from 1 species